rnacentral:lncRNA from 1 species
AGAGAGAAGGGAGAGAGAAGGGAGGGGAAUCCGGCCAGGGGCCGGUCACCGGACGGCCACCGGAGGCUCGCCGGCGCCGGCGCCGGCCACCGCACGCGGUGGCCGGAAAAGGUAAAAAAAAUAUAUUUUUUUUUAUUUUUUUUGUUAUUUGUUCUUGGUCUUAGAAUAUAUAGAUUUUAGGUUUAUAUUAACUUCAAAAAUGUAUAGAUAUGUAUAUAGAAAUCGAAAAAAAAGUAACCUUUUCCGUUUGCCUUUCCUUUUUUCCGAAUGCUUGCUAUCUCAGAGAUCUAUGUAUUUUUUUUUUAAACUCUAACUUCUGUUUUUUUUGUAUUCAAAUGCCGAAAAAAAACAAACAAAAAAAAGAAGAAGAACCCAAAAAAAACCCCUGUUUCCGUUUUUCAUUUCGGGUUUUAUAACCCAUUUUACAUCCUUUUUCUAUUAUUCUAUCCUGUUUUUUGUCUUGAUCUUGCAGGGUAUGGAGGUGCUGGUAGUGGAGGAGGAGCAGGUGGCCGACAUGGUGGCAUGGAGAGCUGGGCGUGGCAGACGAGGAGGCCACGCGAGGCAUGCGGCGGCCAGCUAGGGUUUGCUGCUGAAUUUUGCUGAAAAAUGUUUUAGAUUUUGGGCCAUUUGGGCUUUAGGAUUUUGAUUUGUUUGGGUUUGAAUUUUGGGUCAGAGUUUGGGUUUGUAAAUGGGCUGUUACUUUUGGGUUUAUUAUUUUUAUUUUGUUUUUGUUUUGCACUGGGCCCGGGCAAAAUGGGCUCAUACA